ACUUUCUGUUCCCGUAUGUUCUUCUGGGGUAAACAUGAAUCUCCAGGUAACUGCUAUAUUGAGGCCAAGAGGAAUACGGGCAGUGCUGCGUUGGGAUGCCCUGACAUGCAGAACGCAUCCCCAGGUGCCAGGGAGGACUUCUGCAGGCAGGAGGGCUCAGAGAAAAGACCACGUGAGGACCGCAGCCAGAGGCAUCUGUCUGCAGCCAGGAAGGGUCCUCUCCAGAAACCGGGCCCUGCCGGACGCCGAGGUGGAACUGCCAGCCUCCGGAACUGUGAGAAACAGAUUUGUAUCGUUGCAGCCACCCGGCCCGCGUUUUGUUAUGGCAACCGGCGCAGACUGCCGGCUUGUGUUCUUACUCCUGGACCUGGAGAUUAUCAUAAAUUUGGGAGGUGGACACAAGCUUUGCACCCAGUGAGCAGCAUUUUGCAAUGGUAACUAAUUCACAGCGCCAGCAAAUACGUAUGUAUAGAGAAGUCUAGACGAAACAUGGCAAACAUGACAUCAGUUUGCUGAGGUGUAAUGGAUGAAUAAAAUUGCGCAACGUGUGCGACGUGAUGAUUUGAUAUGUGCAUACAUUACGGAAUGAUUUUUAUAGCCAGGCUGAUGAACACAGCCAUCACCUCAUGUGGUUUCUUAACCACUGAAAGCUGUUCCCCUUUGACCAGUGUCGGCCAAUUUCCCUCAGCCUCCAGCCGCUACCAACCACCGUUCUCCUCUCUAUUUCUAUGAAUUCACUUCUCACUUUUCGAUUCCAUACGUAAGGGACACCACACGGGUGUUUGUCUUUCUCAUGACAUUGGUUCUUUACCCUGGCAGCUGGGUGGACAUUGAACAGUUUGAUCGUGAUCGUUUUAUUUUGAUAAAAGUAUUUAAUAAGACGUAAUUAUAUUUUCAAAAAUUAAACUAUAAUUUCAGUUUUAUUUCUAGCUUCCGAUUUAAAGUUUGAUAUUGAUUAUUAUGUCCAUUUUGCCAUUUCACUUUAAUAUAUUAUUCUAUAUCAGAGGAAAAAUAGGAAACAUGAAAAGGAGUUUUACAUUUGGAAAAUUUUUACACUUUGAAAACGGUUGUUUUGUUUUUUAACCCUUUAGAUCAUGGGUCAGCAAACUGUGGGUCAAAUCUGAUCUGCCGUUUGUUUUAUUUAAAGUUUUAUUGGGCUACGUUCAUGCCUAUAUUUUUACGAGCUGUCUCUGGCUAUUUGCAGAUAGCUGAGUAAUUAUUGCAGAUACUGUAUGGCCACAAAGCCAAAAAUAAUUAUUAUCUGGCCCUUUACAGGUAAUAAAUAAGGUUAAUGCCUGUGUUAGAUCGUUUAGAAUGUUUACAAUUUGAAUCAUGAAAAACUAUAAAAUUCCAAGGUAGAACUUAAAAUAGGAUAAAAACUAAAAAGCAAGAAGAGACAGAAGUUUUUCAAAUUAACGCUUCAAAUUUAAAUCACUGGAAGCCAGGAAAGUGAGAAGACUUCUGUACAGCAUGGCCCAUAUAAAAUUUGCAAGCAGGAAAUUUCUUUAUUUAAAGAAGAUUUACUGAAAAUAAGCAAGGGAACUUUUCUCCUUGAAUCCACAACUGGAACUGGUCAGCUAUGUCAAAUUCUCAUUAAAUGAAGCCAUAACCACUGAUCAAAAUGAUGAAAAUGAAAGAGAGAAUGAUAUCAGAUUCAUAAUUCAGAGACAGCUAAUAUAACUCUUGUGUGCUUGUUAGCAGUUGAAGAAAACUGCAUUCAUAAAAUCUGCAAAUUGGGGAAGAAAGUCAUAGCCCCUGGAACCUGACUCUGUUUAUUGGAUGGGGAUUCUGGAAAAUGGCAGUCAUAUCCUGACACGAAUGCGAACGCUUCUAGCAAAGCACAAUCUGAUUCACAUCAGUGGUCACAGUUUUCCAUCGGAUAAAACAGCAGAAAAUUUAUAUUUCAUUUUUUAUAGACAGUCUUUUUAGAGCAGCUUCAGGUGCACAGUAAAAUGGAGCAGAAAGUACAGAGAUUUCCCCUAGACCCCCCUGCCCUCGCACAUGCACAGUGUCCCCCAUCAUCAGUGUCCCCCCAGGAGUGCUAGGCUUGUUCUAAUGGGUGAACCUCCACUGACACAUCAUUCUGGUCCAGAGUCCACAGUUCAUGUCAGGGUUCAUGCUCGGUGUGGCGACAUUCCGUGGGCUUGGACUAAUGCGUAACGACAUGUGUGCAUCAUCACUGUGUCAUACAGAGCGGUUUCACUGCUCUGAAAAUCCUCCAUGCUUCGUAUAUUUCACUUUAAACCCCAAUUCUUUCAAACCAGCUGUUACAUUCAAAGUUCAAAGUAUCUUGUUGCUACCGUUACGUAUUUCCCAACCAAUUGGCUUUGACCAAUGAAGACACUUGUGACUGGACACACAUCCUUGAGUAAAAGAACAUGAAAUAUCACACGCCCACAAAAUUAACAAAUACUAGAGCAACAACAAAAAAGACAGAAUAAGUGACAGUUGAUAUUUUUCUACAGAGAAGCAAUUCUAGAGCAGAAUACACACAACAUUGUUACAGUGUCCUUAAAAGAAUAUUAAAAGAUGAUAUCAUGUGUCUGAUAUGAGCACAGUGAUGCUCAUUGCAGCUCUCAUUUUCUUCAGCUUGACUGAAGUACGAGAAACAAAAUUGUGAGAUGUUUAAAAUCUGCAUCGUGAUGAUUUGAUAUAUGUAUAUAUAUUGUGAAGGAAUCCCUCCCUUCCAGUUAACACAUCCAUCAACUCACACAUUUGUACAUAUAAUAUAUAUUAUACAUACAUACGUACAUAUUUAAACAUUUAAAUUCUAUUCUUAGCAACUUUCAGUUCUACAGCAAUGUUAUGAACUACAGUCACCAUGUUCUACGUUGGAUUCUCAGACUUUUCUCAUUUUAGAGCUGAAAGUUUGUACCCUUUUUUAUGAACUUCUCCCUAGUGUUUAUACAAAGCAUGAAAACAUGGAAAAAUUUUGAAUUUAGUGGAAAUAGUUUCCAAAUCUGUUAAUAGAAUGGCUGAACAUGUAAUAUAAAUGAACAAAAAAUGAUGCAAAAUAGGACUUCACUUUCAGAUGGAGAAUUCAAAGUAGAUCAUUAACUUAUUGGUAAGGAAGUCAGAGAAGAAAACACAGAAAAAAGCAAAUGUUGUUCAGUUUAACUAGAUUUCAAAAAUUAUGUUGAGAUGCUCCAAAUAAAAAUCAAACUGUGGCUUUUAGGGAAAAACAAGUUAUGAAUUUAAUUUUGAAUGUGGACUCUCCACAGUGCUCUUAAUAACAUGAACAAAAGAUAAUGACCAACAAGACAGACAAGAUGUGCUUGGCUACUUCAUGUUUAAAAGGAUUAAAAAACUUAAAAAAAAAAACCUCUGAGAAAAUGAUUUUUCCAAGCUGCAAGCAACUAAUGGUAAAUACAUAACAAAUGUGAUAUUUCAUUAAAAUAGAAGGAAAUGGCAAGAAGAAAUGAAAAUAUUUCCUGACCAUGCAGAAAAAGAUUCAUGUACAAACACUUCCAAAAUUAAUUCCUAUAAAGAAUGUUUUCUGGCCAUUAGAAAGCAAGUUAUGGUCUCACCUGAAGAGAGAUUGGAACAAACUGAGCAAGUUGAAUCCCAAACUGCUAUUUUUAGUUUUCUUUAUACUAUCCCAGCAUUGAUGAUUUUAAAAGAAGAAACUGAGAGAUAUUCUGUGACUCUUGAUAAUUGCUUUAAGAUACUUUGAAAGUCCGAUAAAAGUGAUGGACAUUUAUAUCUUGUAAUUAAACUAUCUUGUAAUGUUUUUGUGAUAAUAAUUUAUCACCAGUAUCUCAAUUAGACUGUUUGAACAAGAUGUAUUAAUUUAAAUAUUCACUUCUGAAUCUAAGUACUGCUUUAUAAUUUUGAUUAAUGAUUCCAAUUGCUACUGUCUCAGAACAAAAUUUCUCCCUAUUAAUGAAUUAAAAAAAAACUAUUUAAAAAUUAUGAGGGCUCAAGAAAAAUCACAUGAUUUGGCUGCAGAUAGAAACUGACCAUGUGGAAACUAUGACUGUAACAAUGUGAGUGAAUUUGCAGACAUUUUCUGAGAUAAAUAUAUAAUUUAAAAAGU